rnacentral:rRNA from 1 species
AAGUCUGACGGAGCAACGCCGCGUGAGUGAUGAAGGUUUUCGGAUCGUAAAACUCUGUUGUUAGGGAAGAACAAGUACCGUUCGAAUAGGGCGGUACCUUGACGGUACCUAACCAGAAAGCCACGGCUAACUACGUGCCAGCAGCCGCGGUAAUACGUAGGUGGCAAGCGUUGUCCGGAAUUAUUGGGCGUAAAGCGCGCGCAGGCGGUUUCUUAAGUCUGAUGUGAAAGCCCCCGGCUCAACCGGGGAGGGUCAUUGGAAACUGGGGAACUUGAGUGCAGAAGAGGAGAGUGGAAUUCCACGUGUAGCGGUGAAAUGCGUAGAGAUGUGGAGGAACACCAGUGGCGAAGGCGACUCUCUGGUCUGUAACUGACGCUGAGGCGCGAAAGCGUGGGGAGCGAACAGGAUUAGAUACCCUGGUAGUCCACGCCGUAAACGAUGAGUGCUAAGUGUUAGAGGGUUUCCGCCCUUUAGUGCUGCAGCAAACGCAUUAAGCACUCCGCCUGGG